UAGAUCACACUACAUUAAUUUUAUUGACAUCAUAUUUUUUGCAAAGUUGGAUUUUUAGUAGUUGCUGUAAUAGAAAGCCAUUCUUAGAAUCACUGUGGAACAGAACAUGAAGAGCAGUGUCCAAUCUGAUCCUAUUGUUUGAGAAGUUAUGAAGUCCACAACAGAAGCAUAUAUUACAUUUAGAAAAUUCAAAAGAACAAUGGGCUGACUGAGAAUUGAGAGAUCAGGAAGCUGGCCCUGCUUUGCCACUAACAAAAUGUAUGUAUGACUGGGCAUUUCACUUAUUCGGGUCUCUGUGGUAGGCAGCAUCUAAGGUACUUCCCAAUGGUCCUCCCUCCUGUAUUCACACCUUUGUGUAAUCCUCUCCCCUUCAUUAUAGGCUGAACCUAGUGACUCACUUCAAAUGAGCAGAAUAUAGUAAAGGGGAUGGGAUGUCACUUCCAAGUCUGUUUAAGUUAUAAACAGACUGUGAAUUCCCUCUUUGGCUUGCUUUCUCCAUGGCACACUCUGAGGGAAGCCAACUGCGAUGCUCUCAGCUGCCCUACAGAGAGGCCCGUAGCAACUAAUGCUCCCAGUGAACAGCCAGUGAGGAUCUGAGACCCUCAUUCCAACAGUACUUGAACAGGAUCCUGCUAACAGACAUGUAAAUGGACUUGGAAGUGGGUCCUCUCCAAGUUGAGCCUUGUGAUGAGACCACAGCCCAGCCUACACACUGACUGUGUAGCCUUGUGAGAGGCUCUGAGCCAGAGGGCCCACCUAAGCCAUCCCAGGAUUGCUGGACCACAGAAACUGUGAGAUAAUAAAUACUCGCUGUAUAAACCA